GAAUAACGUGUUGGUCUUCGCUUCGGCAAGGCCUUCACACCCUCACAUCCAUAACACCUGUGAACUGUAAGAUGUGGUGACUCGUUGCCCAUCUGCCCCUUUUUACAAACAUCUUUAGUAACAAAAGUAGUUAUAUUAUAAUCUAAUAAAACUUUCAACAACGGAUCUCUUGGCUCU
rnacentral:misc_RNA from 1 species